UGAAGUUGCUGCCUAUUGGCCAUUCUGAUGCAGCUCUUCUACCUGCUUGUCAUUAUUUCGGGGUCCUCUUAGGUAAAGACCCAUCACUGAGCAGCACUGAUCGCAGCACAUCUGGAAUCAAUACAGCCAAACUGGUGGCCGCUAUUACACAUCUUAUGAAAGAGUAGAGAAUCUCAGGAUCAAGACAGAGAUGGUAAUCACUGCAAAACACGAAAUCCAGGGGGAGUUGGAUCCAGAUCCUUAUACCCACCUACCCACAUAUCAUCAACAUUCUCAGAUAUUCCUACAACAAAACCCUACCCAGCACCCAGCUCCUGUUUUUUUGAAAAUGCUGGUGGGGAAUAAGUUAAAUAUUUGUAAAAUGUUUAUAACACAUGUGAAAGUGUUUUACAACUUUAUGGUGUACAUAUAAAUGUGUCCAUUGGCUCUUUACAUACUGAUCUUAACAGUCAUUUUUCUGUCAUUUGUCACUCUGUAAAUUUAGAUUCUGCUCUAUUUCUGGAGUCAGAGAGGUCGAGUUCAAGCUGACCAGGUCACAUCACUCAGAGUACACCAGCAGGGAUGGUUGCUAUGGUGAGGGUUAUGGUGGAAGAGAUAUAGGGAAUGAUGGGGAUUUUUUGCUUGCUUUUUUGCUUUGCUUGAAAAGUCAAUUUUCUGAUACACUCAACAGGAAACAAAACAUUUAAAAAAAAAUUGGUGCUUUUAACAUUGUGUAAAUAAAUUGCAAACUGUUCCUGUUUCUAACUGCCCUUGAUUAUGGCCCUUUAAUUAUUAGAGCUCAUAAAACUGAUAUUAACCAGCUAUCUAUAGCCUAUCAGUUGAGCUUUUUUUAUACAGGGUAUAUAUAUUUUUAACACCCUUUUCAGAUUUUUUCAGUGCAUGAUAAUUGACCUUCAAAUAUUACUAACCCUUAGUGCUUCAGCAAGGUGAGUGUGUUAUUGAGUGGAUGAAUUAAAGGAUAUUAUUUUAUUCUACUGGCAACUGAAGAACAAUUAUCCUUUAGAUAGAGACUGGAGGGCAAGGACUGUGUGUGUAACCAUCCAUUAUUCAUCUUAAUCAGAGACUUAAACAUCAGCAUCCAUCAGCACUUAAAAUUAAAUUUGAGAUUAAUCUCCACAAAGGGGGUGGGGGGUGGUGGGGGUUUGAUGUAUACCCUAUAGUUUAAGACAUCAGUUGCAAAUACACACAGAACAAUAUAGUCCUCUUACCAUCAGUGCUUGAGCCCCAAUUAAGCCAAAUCCCAUCUGGACUUUUUUUGUGGACUGUAUUGAACCCUUGACCACAGAUGGAACAUCUUUAUUUGACACUGGAAGCAAUAAAAUGUUAAACACUGAAUUAAAUUAAGCAACAUAAUAAUUAACUUUGGAAAAGAUUCAAAGUUUUUAUUUGGUUUAUAGCCAUGGCCCUUAAUAUCCCACAAAUCUUAGUUCCACUGACCUUAUAUUUUGAAAUCAUGUGCAUGUGAGAAGGCAAUUCACCCUUACAAUCUGACACUUCUUGACAUGUACAGGAAGUUGAGCCA